CGCAACCCCCCUUCUUCCACUGAUUCUUCCCUUCCAGUCGGUCCGCCUUGUUACAGAUCCAAGUAGCAACUUGCGAAAAGGAAAGCGACACUGUGUGUAGAUUUCGGUGCAGGGCAUUGUUUACCGGGAGGCAGCGAGAGCGCAUUUAACCACCUCUGUUCGUCGUUCACGGUACGGCUGAAAUUUUCAUUUCCGCUUUGUGUUUAAUGGAGCUUCGACAUAUUUGAGUAGUCCUUAGGUCUCGAUUUAGUAGGCAUUUUUAUUUCAAUAUUUUGUGGCGCCGGGUAUGUGCUAUGGUUAGCACUUCCGUUUCACGGGAAGAAGUUCCCCGUUAACUAGGUUUUGAGAUUUCGAGUAGGUGUAAAUGUAUGGUAAAUCGAUUAGGCGAUGUCGGAUUUCUAGUGGUGUUGUGGGCUUGUCUUAGAAAAAUUUGACCUCGCUCAUCGCCGCGCCUCCAGUGGCCGUUCGUCGGGUUUGACGCCAGCGAGGAGGCUGACCACGGUUUGGACGCUCUAGCCCUUGAUCUUUUCCUUGGAGCUUUUAAUUUAGCACGGUGAGAGGAAGAUGUAGUGACACCUUAUUUAAUGUGUGUCGUCAUUGAGGCAUUGCAGUUUCUUAGGAGAACUUUUCUAUUAGUCACCUCACGAUUGCGGAAAUGACUCGAAAAUGUUUCUACCCCAUAUACUAAAGUCACACUUUACGGGGUGUAUACUCACUUUGAAAAUUAGAUUAGAAUUCUUAGAAAUGAAAAUGAAAAUUGUCGGAGGACGCUGUGGCAAUACUACAUUGCCAAAAAGCAAUGCGACAGUAGUUUGGUGGUACUCAUAUUAAGGCAGCAUGUCGUACGAUCUUCGAUUCCACUUGCUGUGUAGAAUCAUUCACGCCGAAUGCACUUGAAUUGUCAUGUUAUUUUUGCUCAAUUCGAGUGUCACCUACACCCUCCUCAAUGUAGCUUGUAAUCUAGCGGUGACGAAUCUAACAUAUGAUUUAUCCUAAAAUACCUAAGUCGUUAAUUAGCGUUGUACUAACAUUGUCACGAACGUGCGGAUAGUCACACCGCCGAACCCGAACGGAGCCCCCUUGGAGUAUGAUAUUGUGCGUAUCCAUCUGAUGCUCUGUAAUUCUGUCAUGCUUUCGAUUGAGUAUACCUUCAUUCCUUUCUAGUGGUGCACGGUAAGGGGUUCCUUUCGUACAACCACACUGGAGAACCCGUGUAUAGCAAUCUUCAAGGGCCGUCAUAUCCGAUCGCGUCUAAGAGGUGAUCUUCGAAAAUGUCAACGAGGUACGCCUUUUUACAAUUGGGCUCCGCUAGGGGUGCUAACUUUUGACGUGGCGAGAAGAAAUGUUAAAUGUACCUAAAUCCCCAAUAAUCGUAAUUACGGUAGUCGUUCUUCCAAUUGUUUUGCAAUAAAUGUACUUGCAAUAUUUGUGUCUUUCGUGCUAUACAUGUUCCUAAAGAGAGUGAGAAGCUGGAGCCACACCAUGUCUCGGAUGCCCAUAGCUCCGUUGAGAGUUUUGUAGUCGUUUAUAGCCGCAAAAGGAAACGAAAGAUGUCUCGUCAGCGUGGUGUUGAGAGAGCAAUGCCCCGGCCCCCAGCACAUUGGGAUUACGAAUUAGAAUAAUAUUUUACUCGCAUAUGUUGGUUGCAUUUUAUUGCCGAAGAAAUUGAACGAGAAAAAUCUUCCUCCAAAGGUAUGGUAAAAAAUAAUAAAGGAGUCCUUCGAGGAAACGGGCUGCGACUACGAUUACGAGCAACUAAUGGAAAAUUCAAGUGGACGAAAGUCAAUUAUGGUCAUCUGCGUGACCUUGUUGUACGUUAAACAGGACUUGGUUGGGAUGCGGAGACAGGGUGGUACUUGCUAGCGAGGCCCAAAAAGCUGCUUGAUUAUUGGCGCAUCCUGGGGACAGCCAUUUACUGACGCAGCCGUUUGUGCACUUUGAUUACUGUCAUGAAAAGUUCAACCACUAUUACACCAAUGGGGACGCCAACCAAUCGAACCGUGCCCCUCCCCGUGGCAUGGAUUCGGCGCAGAGAACAACGCAGCAAACGGACCCCAUGUUUGCUGGUCCAUCUAACGUUGGAGUAGAAGACCGACGCGAUGAGUUUGAUAGUCCACAAAAGACAUCGACGAUGAACGAGGACUUUACCAGUAGCCCGUCAAUGCAUAAUCGGUCCGGGGCCCCUCGCUGCCGCCGUGGGGGAGUCUCAGUGAAUGAAGAGUUCACACGACGAAUUGAAGGACAAAUUCAGAGAGGCUACGAGAUGAUUCAACAGAACUUACUUGCAAGGGACAAUGAGCGCCGCGACACCCUCCUCCGAGUGCAGGCUAUUCUUGACUCGUUUACCGAUCUUCCCGAUUUGGCGCUUGUCCGCGCCUUACACGGAUAUCUUUCCUUGACCAUCGAGUGAUCUUCCUCUCGUGGCCGCUCGCGCGCCAGAGAAUGUGGGCCUUUUCGUUUGCGCCGCAGUAGUCAUGGAACCUAAAUUACGUUUUAAAUUUACGCAACCGACUAUGUUGUCUUACGUUCUCGUACCUUGUGUAGUAGUCGUCUAGGUGAAUGUUUGCAACUAUGCCGCACUUGCAUGCAACU